rnacentral:tRNA from 1 species
GAAUAAGAAGCGAAUUAUUGCAUUCAGUUUCGACCUGAAAAUAUGGUAUUAAGAUUUUACCCUUAUUCU